rnacentral:rRNA from 1 species
GCAUAUCAAUAAGCGGAGGAAAAGAAACCAACAGGGAUUGCCCUAGUAACGGCGAGUGAAGCGGCAACAGCUCAAAUUUGAAAUCUGGCUCUUUUAGAGUCCGAGUUGUAAUUUGCAGAGGGCGCUUUGGCUUUGGCAGCGGUCCAAGUUCCUUGGAACAGGACGUCACAGAGGGUGAGAAUCCCGUACGUGGUCGCUAGCUAUUGCCGUGUAAAGCCCCUUCGACGAGUCGAGUUGUUUGGGAAUGCAGCUCUAAAUGGGAGGUAAAUUUCUUCUAAAGCUAAAUACUGGCCAGAGACCGAUAGCGCACAAGUAGAGUGAUCGAAAGAUGAAAAGCACUUUGGAAAGAGAGUCAAACAGCACGUGAAAUUGUUGAAAGGGAAGCGCUUGCAGCCAGACUUGCUUGCAGUUGCUCAUCCGGGCUCUUUUGCCCGGUGCAUUCUUCUGCAGGCAGGCCAGCAUCAGUUUGGGCGGUGGGAUAAAGGUCUCUGUCACGUACCUCUCUUCGGGGAGGCCUUAUAGGGGAGACGACAUACCACCAGCCUGGACUGAGGUCCGCGCAUUUAUGCUAGGAUGCUGGCGUAAUGGCUGUAAGCGGCCCGUCUUGAAACACGGACCAAGGAGUCUAACAUCUAUGCGAGUGUUUGGGUGUCAAGCCCGAACGCGUAAUGAAAGUGAACGGAGGUGGGAACCCGCAAGGGUGCACCAUCGACCGAUCCUGAUGUCUUCGGAAGGAUUUGAGUAAGAGCAUGGCUGUUGGGACCCGAAAGAUGGUGAACUAUGCUUGAAUAGGGUGAAGCCAGAGGAAACUCUGGUGGAGGCUCGCAGCGGUUCUGACGUGCAAAUCGAUCGUCAAAUUUGGGCAUAGGGGCGAAAGACUAAUCGAACUAUCUAGUAGCUGGUUUCUUGCCGAAGU